rnacentral:rRNA from 1 species
UACGGGGGGUGCAAGCGUUAUCCGGAUUCACUGGGUUUAAAGGGUGCGUAGGUGGGCAAGUAAGUCAGUGGUGAAAUCUCCGGGCUUAACCCGGAAACUGCCAUUGAUACUAUUUGUCUUGAAUACUGUGGAGGUCAGCGGAAUAUGUCAUGUAGCGGUGAAAUGCUUAGAUAUGACAUAGAACACCAAUUGCGAAGGCAGCUGGCUACACAAAUAUUGACACUGAGGCACGAAAGCGUGGGGAUCAAACAGG